UACGUAGGGCGCAAGCGUUGUCCGGAAUCAUUGGGCGUAAAGAGCUCGUAGGCGGCCUGUUGCGUCCGCUGUGAAAUCCCGGGGCUUAACCCCGGGCGUGCAGUGGAUACGGGCUGGCUGGAGGCAGGCAGGGGAGAACGGAAUUCCCGGUGUAGCGGUGAAAUGCGCAGAUAUCGGGAGGAACACCGGUGGCGAAGGCGGUUCUCUGGGCCUGUACUGACGCUGAGGAGCGAAGCGUGGGAGCGAA
rnacentral:rRNA from 1 species